AACCGUGCAAAGGUAGCGUAAUCACUUGCCCCUUAAAUAGGGGCUUGUAUGAAAGGUUAAUUGAGGAUAACUCUGUCUUUUAUGACCAAUCAAUGAAACUGAUCUCCCAGUACAAAAGCUGGGAUAAACCCAUAAGACGAGAAGACCCUGUGGAGCUUUAAGCAAUAGUGUUACUACAACCUCACAACCACUAAGCCAGUAUAUAACACUAGCUUUAAGUUGGGGCGACUGCGGAGAAAAAAAUAACCUCCGUGAAACAGGCUAAGGNCCACCACUAGGUACACACACCAAAUAGUAAAUAAUUUGACCCAGCAAAACUGAUCAUCGAACCAAGUUACCCCAGGGAUAACAGCGCCAUCCCCUUCAAGAGUCCAUAUCGCCAAGGGGGCUUACGACCUCGAUGUUGGAUCAGGACCCCCAGAUGGUGCAGCCGCUAUCAAAGGUUCGUUUGUUCAACGAUUAAAGUCCUACGUGAU
rnacentral:rRNA from 1 species